UGGGGAAUUUUGGACAAUGGGCGAAAGCCUGAUCCAGCAAUGCCGCGUGUGUGAAGAAGGCCUUCGGGUUGUAAAGCACUUUUGUCCGGAAAGAAAUCCUUGGCUCUAAUACAGUCGGGGGAUGACGGUACCGGAAGAAUAAGCACCGGCUAACUACGUGCCAGCAGCCGCGGUAAUACGUAGGGUGCAAGCGUUAAUCGGAAUUACUGGGCGUAAAGCGUGCGCAGGCGGUUUGCUAAGACCGAUGUGAAAUCCCCGGGCUCAACCUGGGAACUGCAUUGGUGACUGGCAGGCUAGAGUAUGGCAGAGGGGGUAGAAUUCCACGUGUAGCAGUGAAAUGCGUAGAGAUGUGGAGGAAUACCGAUGGCGAAGGCAGCCCCUGGCCAAGUACUGACGCUCAUGCACGAAAGCGUGGGGAGCAAAACAGGAUUAGAUACCCUGGUAGUCCACGCCCUAAACGAUGUCAACUAGUUUGUUGGGGGAUUCAUUUCCUUAGUAACGUAGCUAACGCGUGAAGUUGACCGCCUGGGGAGUACGGUCGCAAGAUUAAAACUUAAA
rnacentral:rRNA from 1 species